AGCUACCACAUCCAAGGAAGGCAGCAGGCGCGCAAAUUACCCACUCCCGAAACGGGGAGGUAGUGACGAUAAAUAACGAUGCGGGACUCAAUCGAGGCCCCGUAAUUGGAAUGAGUACACUUUAAAUCCUUUAACGAGGAUCAAUUGGAGGGCAAGUCUGGUGCCAGCAGCCGCGGUAAUUCCAGCUCCAAUAGCGUAUAUUAAAGUUGUUGCAGUUAAAAAGCUCGUAGUUGGAUCUCAGGAUUUGGAUGGAUGGUUCGCUUUCGGGCGCUACUAUCUGUCUGACCUACUCUAGUCGUGGAUGCCUUGGGUGCUCUUAAUUGAGUGCUUUUGGUGCCCGACGCAAUUACUUUGAAAAAAUUAGAGUGCUCAAAGCAGGCGUAUUGCCUGAAUAGUGUUGCAUGGAAUAAUGAAAUAGGAGUUUACUUCUAUUUUGUUGGUUUUCGGAGGUGAACUAAUGAUUAACAGGGACAGACGGGGGCAUUUGUAUGGAGGGGUUAGAGGUGAAAUUCUUGGAUCCUCUCCAGACAAACUACUGCGAAAGCAUUUGCCAGGAAUGUUUUCACUAAUCAAGAACGAAAGUCAGAGGUUCGAAGACGAUCAGAUACCGUCCUAGUUCUGACCAUAAAUGAUGCCAUCUAACAAUCCACGAAGUUUGCUUGUACGAACUCGUGGGCGGUCCCCGGGAAACCAAAGAUUUUGGGUUCCGGGGGAAGUAUGGUUGCAAAGCUGAAACUUAAAGGAAUUGACGGAAGGGCACCACCAGGAGUGGAGCCUGCGGCUUAAUUUGACUCAACACGGGAAACCUCACCCGGCCCGGACACUUUUAGGAUUGACAGAUUGAAGGCUCUUUCUUGAUCAAGUGGUUGGUGGUGCAUGGCCGUUCUUAGUUGGUGGAGCGAUUUGUCUGGUUAAUUCCGAUAACGAACGAGACUCUACUCUGCUAAAUAGAACGUUGAUAUAUAAAAGUCAGUGCUGACUUCUUAGAGAGACUAACGGCGUUUAGCCGUGUGAGAAAGAGCAAUAACAGGUCUGUGAUGCCCUUAGAUGUCCGGGGCCGCACGCGCGCUCACUGACUGCAGCAACUAGUAUGCUCCUGGUUUGAAAAAACUGGGUAACCUGGUUGAAUUGCAGGCGUGACAGGGACCAGAGUUUGCAAUUAUCCUCUGUGAACGAGGAAUUCCCAGUAAGCGCAAGUCAUUAGCUUGUGCUGAUUACGUUCCUGCCCUUUGUACACACCGCCCGUCGCUACUACC
rnacentral:rRNA from 1 species